UACAGAGGUCUCAAGCGUUGUUCGGAUUCAUUGGGCGUAAAGGGUGCGUAGGCGGCGCGGUAAGUCGGGUGUGAAAUCUCGGAGCUUAACUCCGAAACUGCAUUCGAUACUACCGUGCUUGAGGACUGGAGAGGAGACUGGAAUUUACGGUGUAGCGGUGAAAUGCGUAGAGAUCAUGAGGAAGACCAGUGGCGAAGGCGGGUCUCUGGACAGUUCCUGACACUGAGACACGAAGGCCAGGGGAGCAAACGGG
rnacentral:rRNA from 1 species